AUGGCGAGCUAUGUAUGGAGAAAAUAUGCAGAUUAUCUGUUCACAAAAUGGGAGAAAACCUUUCUAUGGGACAUGGUUGAACCUUACAGAAGACCUAAAUCUUUCACUCCUGUUGUUGUUACUUACACAGCCGCUUUCUAUACCGGAGUCAUUGGUGCCGCCAUCACCGAACAACUCUACAAGCCUAAUGGGGGUAAUGAUGGUUGGUUGGCAUUCUUUUGGACCAACCAGUGUACUAGAGUUAGAUGGUAA